UACACUCCUGCGGGAGGCAGCAGUGGGGAAUAUUGGACAAUGGGCGCAAGCCUGAUCCAGCCAUGCCGCGUGAGUGAUGAAGGCCCUAGGGUUGUAAAGCUCUUUCACCGGUGAAGAUAAUGACGGUAACCGGAGAAGAAGCCCCGGCUAACUUCGUGCCAGCAGCCGCGGUAAUACGAAGGGGGCUAGCGUUGUUCGGAUUUACUGGGCGUAAAGCGCACGUAGGCGGACUAUUAAGUCAGGGGUGAAAUCCCGGGGCUCAACCCCGGAACUGCCUUUGAUACUGGUAGUCUUGAGUUCGAGAGAGGUGAGUGGAAUUCCGAGUGUAGAGGUGAAAUUCGUAGAUAUUCGGAGGAACACCAGUGGCGAAGGCGGCUCACUGGCUCGAUACUGACGCUGAGGUGCGAAAGCGUGGGGAGCAAACAGGAUUAGAUACCCGUGUAGUCCCAUGA
rnacentral:rRNA from 1 species